rnacentral:lncRNA from 1 species
CCACUAAAGUUGGCCACUUUCUAAAAAUGGCAAAAGUUUACUUUAAUUAAGUCAACAAUUACUCACUAAUUUGGUCAACAAUUGUAGGCCACUUUCUAAAAAUGUCAAAAUUACUUUAAUUAAGUCAACAAUUACUCACUAAUUUGGUCAACAAUUGUAGGCCACACUUUAUUAAAACAUAUAACACUCAAUUUCUUAAUCUCCG